CCUACGGGUGGCAGCAGUGGGGAAUAUUGGGCAAUGGACGCAAGUCUGACCCAGCAACGCCGCGUGAGGGAAGAAGGCUCUCGGUUUGUAAAAUUCUUUUUAGGGGGAAGAGCAGAAGACGGUACCCCUUGAAUAAGCUACGGCUAACUACGUGCCAGCAGCCGCGGUAAUACGUAGGUGGCAAGCGUUGUCCGGAUUUACUGGGUGUAAAGGGCGUUCAGCCGGGAAGACAAGUCAGAUGUGAAAUCCCGCGGCUCAACCGCCGAACUGCAUUUGAAACUGGUUUUCUUGAGUAUCUGAGAGGUAUGCGGAAUUCGUGGUGUAGCGGUGAAAUGCGUAGAUAUUAGGAAGAACACCAGUGGCGAAGGCAGAUUACUGGACGACAACUGACGGUGAGGCGCGAAAGCGUGGGGAGCAAACAGGAUUAGAUACCCGUGUAGUC
rnacentral:rRNA from 1 species